CUUGCCUGCCUAUUGAAGUUGAAUGAGAGAGCCAACUGAAAACUGAAGAGAGAAGCACCAGAUAAACAAAUUAUUUUAAACAUUAUCUUCACGAACUUCCACCGCUCCUCAAUGAAUAAGGGUUGAACUGGAAGAGGGCUCAAAAAUCCAAAUUCCAAAAAUCUUUCUGUGCAAGGCUUAGCUAAGAACCCCCCUCCAAAAGGUGUUGGAAUUGAUGGGGACACUCUUUAGCCUCACUUACCAGCAAGAAGGCCAAUGCCUUUAAGGACCAUGAAGCAAAACCUCAACAAUGUCCCACACGAGUCUCUGCCAUCUGCUGUAAGACCAAGUUCAAAACCUUUGUUAUAGUUUAAAGAUAGUGUUUUCUGCAUGCAGGGUCACCAACAACAAAAUGUAGCCUACACAGAUGCAUUUCAACAUACAAAUAGCAGACCUGUCAACAAUGGGAAAUGUUUUUGAAUAACAGCACAACCCCACCACUUGUUCUCUAUAGCUAGGUUUCCAUCUAAUUGGCGACAGAUUUCCAAGCAAAUACUAAAAAAUCUGCAUUAAAAACAUGCGCAUUUACACAUCAGAGAUGUAUUUCCAUCAAAUUGAUUUGUUGCGAAUAAAAAGCCGUGCGCAUAAAAUUUAAAUGUCCAUGUACCGAAUAAAAAAUACAAGUAAAUGGAUUUCCAUCGCAUUUUUAACUCUAGGCUACUGAUCAUUUUGUCCUAAAAUAAAUUGCAUUAUCGAGCAAAUGUGCACACUCUGGUCUUUGCGCGUGUGCUCAAGCCAACAACUAAAAUACCGCCGGGCUGGCAUGCCGUCUGAGAAAAAACUGGAAAGAUGUGUACUGUCUUAAUAAAACCUUUUUCCACCACCAUUUUUCAAAUUUUCUGACAAUUUGGGAUGUUUCACACCCUUAUCCAAAAAUGGGGGUGGCUAAUGGUGUUUUAUUAAGAAGUACACAUUUACCCUGUUUUUCCCCCCCUGCCAUUAUUAAGGAGGGAAAUUAUGCCUUUGCAGCCUGAAUGGAGGAUGCUUUAUGUGCGAGCCGGUCCACGGGGGACAGGAGUGUAUUACCCGCUGGAUAUAACAAUCCUAAAUGAUAGUGCAGAUUUCUAUAGUAAUUACUAGAAUAUUUAUAGGAUUACUAGAUUCUUUCUGCAUAUUGUGCUUUACGGUUGAACCAAAAUAUAAAAUGUGUAUAUGUAAUUAAAUCAUGUUGAUGCUAAUACUAUGUAAAAUAUCUACUUAUGUUGCAAUUUGAUAGCCUAAUAUAUUCAACAUCCUGUAAACUAUUCUUUUUUUUCAUUCUCAUCCCUCUAAUAACAUGACACACCCCUUGACUAUUGUCAUUGGUUGCACUAAUUACACUGUCUACAUAACCUGAUUCAAGCUUUCAUAACAUUACCAUGAAGGCAGUGUUCCAAAACAGUGGUAGCUUGAAUAUAAAGUGCGCAACAAUUUUUAUAGCCUCGAGUUUGUGUGAAAUGUAAAAUGUUAUGGAAUACAUUCACUGAACUAUCCCCUAUCGGAAGCGUCUAGGCCUGUUUGUUCAGUCUAAAACAUGGAAGAUUUAAGCCAAUCUCCCUCAUUUGUCCUUUCCUCAAGCGAUGUGCUGCUCCUUGCUACAGACGGGGUGAAUCUUCUUAGCCAGCUCUGCUGUCACAGUCAAGCACCAGAUGGUUCUCUGGAUUAUGGGAUGUAGUUCAAGCUAAUCCUGUCCACAUGUCCUUGAUAAAUGACAGUUGACCAUAAACAACCAUAGGCCUCUGUCAAGUAUGUUAAGUGCAGUAGUUUCAGAGUAAAUGUUAGCCAUAAGAGGUGACAAAAGUAAUGGCAGAAGUCAAAGAACAAGUCCAACAUUUGUUUAUUCAAUAAGAGGAAACUUUAUCCAGGUACUAUUCCUAACCACAGAAUGGGACUACAUUUCAUAAUUGGCUGCAUUAAUUAAUUUCAAAUGGGUAACAAUGUUAACAGUAACAAAAAAGACUGGAAUGUUAAACAAAUUGGACAGAAAUGUUUAUA